GAGUCCCCUUCACGUCGAAGGCGUGGGAAAGGGCGCGCGGGGGAAGCUGGGAAACUCCUGUCCUCGGCCACCAUCUUGCUUUCCUUCAAGCCGGCGGGUCCUGUGGAGCAGAGCAAUCUUGAGCCAUGAAGCUGCUGAGGAGAGCCGGGUCCCUCUCGAGAUUUUAUUCCCUGAAAGUUGCUCCCAAAGUGAAAGCCACAGCUGCCCCUGCAGGAGUGCCUUUACAUCCUCAGGACCUUGAGUUUACCAAAUUACCAAAUGGCUUAGUGAUUGCUUCUCUGGAAAACUAUGCUCCUGCAUCAAGAAUUGGUUUGUUUAUUAAAGCAGGCAGUAGAUAUGAGGACUCCAACCACUUAGGAACCUCUCAUUUGCUUCGUCUUGCAUCCAGUUUGACUACAAAAGGAGCUUCAUCUUUCAAGAUAACCCGUGGAAUUGAAGCAGUUGGUGGUAAAUUAAGUGUGACUUCAACCAGGGAAAAUAUGGCCUACACUGUGGAAUGCCUGCGGGAUGAUGUUGAUAUUCUAAUGGAGUUCCUGCUCAAUGUCACCACAUCACCAGAAUUUCGUCGUUGGGAAGUGGCUGCCCUUCAGUCUCAGCUAAGGAUUGACAAAGCUGUGGCUUUUCAGAACCCACAGGCUCAUGUCCUUGAAAAUUUGCAUGCUGCAGCUUACCGAAAUGCCUUGGCUAAUUCCCUGUACUGUCCUGACUACAGGAUUGGAAAAGUGACACCAGAUGAGUUGCAUUACUAUGUUCAGAACCAUUUCACAAGUGCAAGAAUGGCUUUGAUUGGACUUGGUGUGGGUCACCCUGUUCUAAAGCAAGUUGCGGAACAGUUUCUCAACAUGAGGGGCGGGCUUGGUUUACCUGGUGCAAAGGCCAGAUACCGUGGAGGUGAAAUCCGAGAGCAGAAUGGAGACAGUCUUGUUCAUGCGGCUCUUGUAGCAGAAGGUGCUGCCAUAGGAAGUACAGAAGCAAAUGCAUUUAGUGUUCUCCAGUAUGUCCUUGGUGCUGGACCACACGUCAAGAGGGGCAGCAAUCCCACCAGUUCCCUAUACCAGGCUGUUGCCAAGGGAGUUCACCAGCCAUUUGAUGUUUCUGCUUUUAACGCUAGUUACUCUGAUUCCGGCCUCUUUGGGAUUUACACUAUCUCACAGGCUGCUGCAGCUGGAGAUGUUAUCAAGGCUGCCUAUAAUCAAGUAAAAACAGUUGCUCAAGGAAACCUUUCCAGUGUAGAUGUCCAGGUUGCCAAUUACCUGCAAUCAACCAUGGUCUGAAAGCAGGUGAUCCUCCUCCUGACUUAUUGUCAGGUCACUAGUAGCUGAACACUAUGUCACAGCACAUCUAUGUCCCUCAUCUCACUUCAUCUCAUCACAUAGGCAUUUGGUCAUCUCAUACAUCACAAGAAGAAAGGAACAAGCUGAAAGCUGCCUACCUAAUGUCAGUGGAGUCUUCUGAGGGGUUCCUGGAUGAAGUCGGGUCCCAGGCGCUGGUUGCUGGAUCGUACACGCCGCCAGCCACGGUCCUUCAGCAGAUUGAUUCCGUAGCUGACGCUGAUAUCGUAAAUGCUGCAAAGAAGUUUGUUUCUGGCCGGAAGUCCAUGGCAGCAAGUGGAAAUUUGGGCCAUACACCUUUUGUUGAUGAGUUGUAAUACUGAAACACAUCUUUCAGGGAAGAGCUGAACGUUUUCUCAACCCAGAGCAGAAAACACAUGAAAGUCAAAAAUCUCUAAUAUAACAUUUAUCUUUUUUUUCCCCAAUGAGAUGAAAUGUCUUAGAACAUAAAUACAGGUUUUUGUUCCCAACUGACUUAAAGUCAAUAAAACAUUCUGUUUAAAUGUUUUUCUUGCAUCUUUGCAAUUGGCUAAUAAAGUAUUUAUUAUAUGCUGA